AUUGAACGCUGGCGGCAGGCCUAACACAUGCAAGUCGAGCGAGCGGCGGACGGGUGAGUAAUGUAUGGGGACUGCCCGAUAGAGGGGGAUAACUACUGGAAACGGUGGCUAAUACCGCAUACUAUCGGAUAACCCAUAUGGGAUUAGCUAGUAGGUGGGGUAAAGGCUCACCUAGGCGACGAUCUCUAGCUGGUCUGAGAGGAUGAUCAGCCACACUGGGACUUAGACAUGGCCCAGACUCCUACGGAGGCAGCAGUGGGGAAUAUUGCACAAUGGGCGCAAGCCUGAUGGAGCCAUGCCGCGUGAAUGAAGAAGGCCGUAGGGGUGUAAAAUACUAUCAGCGGGGAUGCGUUACCCGCAGAAGAAGCACCGGCUAACGCCGCGACAGCAGCCGCGGUAAUUC
rnacentral:rRNA from 1 species